rnacentral:rRNA from 1 species
AUGGGAUCGAUUGGCAACAGGAUACCUGAAGUUGGUAUGCGGUUCAGAAAUUCGGAUGAGGCUUGGGAGUUCUGGGUGCAAUAUGGAGGUCACAUAGGCUUUGAUGUGAGGAAAAGAAAUACCAUCAGAAGCAGAAUUGAUGGAACAAUCACUUCAUGUAGAUUUGUUUGUUCCAAUGAAGACAUUCGAAGGAAAAGUCAAAUAGAUCACGAGCCGAAGCGCAUUAGAGCUGAAACAAGAACCAAUUGUAGAGUUCGGAUGAUUGUUUCAUUUGAUUGA